AGUGAACGCUGGCGGUAGGCCUAACACAUGCAAGUCGAACGGCAGCACAGUAAGAGCUUGCUCUUACGGGUGGCGAGUGGCGGACGGGUGAGGAAUACAUCGGAAUCUACUUUUUCGUGGGGGAUAACGUAGGGAAACUUACGCUAAUACCGCAUACGACCUACGGGUGAAAGCAGGGGAUCUUCGGACCUUGCGCGAUUGAAUGAGCCGAUGUCGGAUUAGCUAGUUGGCGGGGUAAAGGCCCACCAAGGCGACGAUCCGUAGCUGGUCUGAGAGGAUGAUCAGCCACACUGGAACUGAGACACGGUCCAGGCUCCUACGGGAGGCAGCAGUGGGGAAUAUUGGACAAUGGGCACAAGCCUGAUCCAGCCAUACCGCGUGGGUGAAGAAGGCCUUCGGGUUGUAAAGCCCUUUUGUUGGGAAAGAAAAGCAGCAGGUUAAUACCCCGCUGUUCUGACGGUACCCAAAGAAUAAGCACCGGCUAACUUCGUG
rnacentral:rRNA from 1 species